CGUAGCGGGGGGACGGGGUGGGAGGUAACGCGUGGGUAACCCGCCUCCAUACAGGGGGAUAACAGUUGGAAACGGCUGCUAAUACCGCAUAAGCGCACAGUACCGCAUGGUACGGUGUGAAAAACUCCGGUGGUAUGAGAUGGACCCGCGUCUGAUUAGGUAGUUGGUGGGGUAACGGCCUACCAAGCCGACGAUCAGUAGCCGACCUGAGAGGGUGACCGGCCACAUUGGGACUGAGACACGGCCCAA
rnacentral:rRNA from 1 species